AGUGAACGCUGGCGGUAGGCCUAACACAUGCAAGUCGAACGGCAGCACAGUAAGGGCUUGCUCUUACGGGUGGCGAGUGGCGGACGGGUGAGGAAUACAUCGGAAUCUACUUUUUCGUGGGGGAUAACGUAGGGAAACUUACGCUAAUACCGCAUACGACCUACGGGUGAAAGCAGGGGAUCUUCGGACCUUGCGCGAUUGAAUGAGCCGAUGUCGGAUUAGCUAGUUGGCGGGGUAAAGGCCCACCAAGGCAACGAUCCGUAGCUGGUCUGAGAGGAUGAUCAGCCACACUGGAACUGAGACACGGUCCAGACUCCUACGGGAGGCAGCAGUGGGGAAUAUUGGACAAUGGGCGCAAGCCUGAUCCAGCCAUACCGCGUGGGUGAAGAAGGCCUUUGGGUUGUAAAGCCCUUUUGUUGGGAAAGAAAAGCAGCAGGUUAAUACCCCGCUGUUCUGACGGUACCCAAAGAAUAAGCACCGGCUAACUUCGUG
rnacentral:rRNA from 1 species